GAUGAACGCUGGCGGCGUGCCUAAUACAUGCAAGUCGAGCGAACAGACGAGGAGCUUGCUCCUCUGACGUUAGCGGCGGACGGGUGAGUAACACGUGGAUAACCUACCUAUAAGACUGGGAUAACUUCGGGAAACCGGAGCUAAUACCGGAUAAUAUAUUGAACCGCAUGGUUCAAUAGUGAAAGACGGUUUUGCUGUCACUUAUAGAUGGAUCCGCGCCGCAUUAGCUAGUUGGUAAGGUAACGGCUUACCAAGGCAACGAUGCGUAGCCGACCUGAGAGGGUGAUCGGCCACACUGGAACUGAGACACGGUCCAGACUCCUACGGGAGGCAGCAGUAGGGAAUCUUCCGCAAUGGGCGAAAGCCUGACGGAGCAACGCCGCGUGAGUGAUGAAGGUCUUCGGAUCGUAAAACUCUGUUAUUAGGGAAGAACAAAUGUGUAAGUAACUAUGCACGUCUUGACGGUACCUAAUCAGAAAGCCACGGCUAACUACGC
rnacentral:rRNA from 1 species